UACAGAGGGUGCAAGCGUUGUCCGGAAUCACUGGGCGUAAAGGGCGCGUAGGUGGUUUGGUAAGUGUGUGGUGAAAGCCCGGGGCUCAACCCCGGGUCUGCCGCGCAAACUGCUGAACUUGAGCAUACUAGAGGCAGGUUGAAUUCCGGGUGUAGCGGUGGAAUGCGUAGAGAUCCGGAAGAACACCGGUGGCGAAGGCGGCCUGCUGGGGUAGAGCUGACACUGAGGCGCGACAGCGUGGGGAGCAAGCAGG
rnacentral:rRNA from 1 species